CUCUUAUUCACAGAACAGAAGAAUAGGGUCCUAAAUAAUGGUUAAAGUCAAUGAACUCAAUUUCUACAUAUUUACAAAUGCCAUAGACAUCUUUUCCCAUGUUUGCCCCAGAAUUGUCACAUCCCUGCCUUAACUGAAUGGUAUAGUAUUUAAAUUCCCUAAAGGAAAUGGUUAUUAGGUUAAAAUGGUUAUUAGAAUGCAGGCCACAUUCUCCAGGCAAUGAUCAGCCUUGGUGUAGAGCUCAGCACUGAGAAGACAGAAGCAAAGGUUCAGGUGCAGGGCCCAUUGAAUUAGAAUUAGAUGUAUUGAGAAAGAACAGCCUCUAUUGAUUUGGUUCCUGAAGUUAAUGUCAAGGAGAGUUGAGACCAUCUAGAGUACAAUGCUAGCUGGGCAAGUGUGGCAUCAGGGGAACCACAGCCCUGGGAGGAGGCUGUGGCUGUCAUGUUCAAAACAACAAGGGAACAAGAAACACUGAACUUCCAUGGGCUUUGGUAGAGAUCCCUUAGGAAUCACUGUGCUUGACCUUGUGAAGGGAACCUCCAUAAUGGCAGGAACUUUCCAUGGAAUUCCCUCAGGUGUAGAUCUGGCCCUCUGCCUACAGUCGUUAGCAGAGGCACGUUCUUUUGUUUCCAACACACCCAUCCCUGCACACAUGUGCCCACACAUGCACCGGUAUACACACACACACACACACUCACUUGCACUCACACACAGGCUGGCAUGCACCUCUACCAUUUGACCACAGCACUGGAUCCAAGUUCCAGAAGAGCAGUGAGAAUGAGGUACUGAAGAAACUUUUUCUGGUUUUCUGACCACUACAAUACACAUAGAUCAACCCUAGCCUUUCCCAAGAAUACCCUAAAAUAAGCAUAGAAUUCAAAAUCACAGAAGAAAACGGCCCAUGGAUCAGUGAAUCUGAUGAAAGCCAGAGCCUUCUUGGCCUUGAGGUUGCUUGGUUUCCAAGCAGAAAGGACAAGAGGCUAGUAGCAACAGAGAAAGAGGCACAUA
rnacentral:lncRNA from 1 species